rnacentral:sRNA from 1 species
CAGAGGCUACCAGAACAACAAAAGGCCCAGUUCUUCCACAGAAUGACCAAAACACAGGCAGCUUUACUGCAGGUUUCCCUGCAUGCUGCCCUGCUAAUGAGCCUCAACCAUCCCUUGGUGGUGGGACCAGCUCUAGAGACAAGAGACCAGUUUGGUUUCUGUGCCCAUUCUGUCCUUGGCCUCU